rnacentral:misc_RNA from 1 species
AACCUAGCACACCUGCGGUGUGUACCUGCGGAAGGAUCAUUAACAAAUCCAUCAUAUUCGAUGACCUACCUUGUGUGCACCUGUAAAAAAACGGCCCUUUGGAGUAAAGGUUGGCACCGGUCCGAGCCGGGCGUGCCAUCUUUUUCCAAAGGGUUUUUUAUAAAUGUCUUUUUUUGAACAAAUAAAAUUUUUUAAAAUGAAUACAACUUUUAGCAAUGGAUCUCAGAUCGGAAGAGCACA